GGUAAGGCGCAAACAGAGUAGUCUCUGCAGCCGCCUGCCACAACAUGUAGCAACCCAAGCUGUUGCAGAAAAGCUUCCUGGAGAGCGAUCUCCAUCCUGCUCAGGGUUCAUCUUUAGCCCUCAUGUGACAGUCCUGGCCGAAAGGAACUGGGGACAAGACAAAGGCAACGGGCAGAAAAGUGUACAGCCGUUUCUGUCGCACUGAGAAUCAAGCCUGGAUUGCUUCCAGUGAGAAGAUGAUAUAGGACUAUUAUAAGGACAAGAUUUUUCAGGAUAAGACACAGUUCUCAUGUGUUCAGACAGAUUGCUUUUCAAAUCACUCUGUAUAGGGAUGGGUUAAACCCAGCUCUAAAA
rnacentral:lncRNA from 1 species